UACGUAGGGGGCAAGCGUUGUCCGGAAUCAUUGGGCGUAAAGAGCGCGUAGGCGGCCCAGUAAGUCCGCUCUGAAAGUCAGAGGCUCAACCUCUGAAUGCGGGUGGAUACUGCUGGGCUAGAGUCCGGAAGAGGCGAGUGGAAUUCCUGGUGUAGCGGUGAAAUGCGCAGAUAUCAGGAGGAACACCGAUGGCGAAGGCGGCUUCCUGGCCUGUUCUUGACGCUGAGGCGCGAAAGCUAGGGUAGCAAACGGG
rnacentral:rRNA from 1 species